rnacentral:misc_RNA from 1 species
AAGUCGUAACAAGGUAACCGUAGGUGAACCUGCGGUUGGAUCAUUAGUAAUUAAUGAUGACAGACCAACGGCUGGACUUUGCGUGCCAGUCGCUGGGAGUCAACUCAACCUCUGUGCACUAUUAAUUGUAUCGGGUCUUGGUGAAGCUUGUUUUCUGGCGGUGAUCCGCUGUGAAUGAGUGAAUCUUUGGCCCAAACUUGCGGCUCUUUUGAGUCGGUAACAAACUACUGUUUUUUUUGUCUGAUCAUUGAUUUAUAUCAAUUAAAUACAACUGUAAGCAACGGAUCUCUAGGCUCAC